UUUAAGUGUAGUUAUGUGUUUCUAUAUUCAAUGUUUGGCCGUCCAUCUUAUUUAAAUUUUUUUAUGAUUAAUAUUUUUGUUGUUGUUACUAGACGAUAAAACAUGAAUAGUACUUUAUACGUGACUUAUUAUUAAACUUUUUUUACAAAAUUUUCAAAUAAGAGGGACGAUCAAACAUUGCAUAUAGAAAUUCACAACUACACUUGAA
rfam:Oryza meridionalis cultivar OR44 (W2112) chromosome 9, whole genome shotgun sequence.